UACGUAGGGGGCAAGCGUUGUCCGGAGUUACUGGGCGUAAAGCGCACGCAGGCGGUCUGCUAAGUUUGGAGUGACAGUUGGUGGCUUAACUGCCAAAGUGCUUUGAAAACUGACAGACUUGAGGGCUUCAGAGGGACACGGAAUUCCGGGUGGAGUGGUGAAAUGCGUAGAGAUCCGGAGGAACACCAAAGGCGAAGGCAGUGUCCUGGGGAGUACCUGACGCUCAGGUGCGAAAGCCAGGGGAGCGAACGGG
rnacentral:rRNA from 1 species